CCGUUUGCAUCAAGUAGCCAUUGGUCCGAGAUGUUUCUCGAACAACUGUCAAGUGGAGUGCAGUGAGGAAGUCCCUCUUUUCUUCUUUCGGCCGAACAACAAACAUCUAAAUUCCCGUGUGCUCAAGAUACUGUUCAGAUUUUCCCGAAAGCAUCACACCAGUGUACCAAAUUCUUAGUGGUUUGUACUUUCGCUGAAAAAAAUCCCCCUCAACCGACCGAACCGUGUUGCACUGCCACCGCCCGUUGUUCGACUGUCGGCGCAUCAUAUCGCAACAACAUGCCGUCAACGUCAUGCUGGUGCCAGCCACGUACAUGCCCCGGAAUUCUUCGUCGCGUGCCAGCCUUCACAGUGCAGGCCUGCCAGCGCUGUGUAGUGGUCUGGCCGCCCUGCCCCAUUCCGGUGUACUGCAUCCGGCCGGCGCGCGUAUCGCGCUUCCGCGGGUUUUUCCUGCGCGGCGACAUACCGAUCUCGCGCGAGUGCGGAACGCGCUGUGUGAAACACUUCAUCAAGUGGCACACACCGCCGGAACAGCUCAACUAUCAGCGCUUUCUGCCACUGUUCUUCGAUGGGUUGUGCGAGUCGACAUUUCCGUACCGGGAGUUUGCACGCCACGGGGUGAGCGAUCUGCUGAUAGCCGGGACCGAACGACAGAUAUUUCAAACCAUCCCCAUGCUGAUACUGCCAAUGCGCGAGGCGUUGAACACGAGAAAUCCGGACAUUAUAAUUGCAACAUUAAACGCGUUACAGCAGCUGCUGCGUGUCGGACCAUCCAUCGGAAUCGCUCUGGUGCCGUACUAUCGACAGCUGCUGCCAAUGCUGAAUCUGUACAAGCAGCGGCGCAUUAACAUUGGAGAUCAUAUAGACUUUCGUGGUGGUCGACGGAUUGGCGAUGUGGUGAAUGCCACACUCGAGCUGCUGGAACAGUGCGGCGGGCCCGAUGCGUAUCUCAACAUUAAGUACAUGGUGCCAACGUACGAAAGCUGUGUCUACAAUCGCUAGAUCGGUUGCAAAACAUGCGUGUAACAAAACAAAAAUUGCAACAUGACCAGCUAGCAACAUAUCAUGCAAAAGAAAUAUAUCUCGCUGCGCUUCAUAUGCUAAACAACAAUCAUCAUAAUGCAGUAUCAAGAUUGUCCCUUUCGGUCGGUUCUAGCUAGCGAUUGUGCUUCCUUCACCGGAAGUCAAACAAAACUUCACGCGACUGCUUUUCGCUGAAGUUUCCGCAUGUUAGCCUGGCGGUCUAUUUCUCGGUCCAAUUUCCAACGAGAUUCUAGAGCUGGCCCACGACCGAUAGGCGUCUCCCCCUUCCCACGCUCGGCGGUGGUCCUGUUUUUCCAAAUGUCGUACCCCGGAUGCUGGUUAAAAAUAUAAAUGGAAUGCUUGCCUGCAUUACGUUUACCGUGGGGUUUUCUAUUAUUUGCUCCGAUACUGCCUCCAGGCACGACGAAAAAUGUGCGCACGCACACAUCCACGAAAAGCAAGCGAAACGAGCUACACAUGCAACGAUAGUAUCAAUCAGGCUGUACUUCUGUUGCCGCUGCUUCACAACCACCUGAAAGGAUCAGGACGCGACGAUGGUGCCGCCUUACAUCGCCCGCACCAUGCCUGCCCUUCGGCCGGCGGCGCUGCAGAGCUUCUAAACCGUUCCCAUUGUGACAUUCAAACCGCUUCGAGCAGCAAUCUACUACAGCAUCAAAACACAUGCUUUUGGAAGGAGGGACGGGGGGUGUAUGCUAGCGGAGAAAGCAUAGCAAAACAACCUUCCACACACACACACACACACACGGACACAGCACCGGUACGAUAACAUUCCCAGUGCAUGAGAAGCGUUCUGUCUCCCUGGAAGAAACAACUGUUCCAGUUUCUCGGCAAGCCAACCCGUGUGCUGUUUUUGGUUGAAAGAAAGAACAAAACACCCUCCCUCCCUUACCCUCGAGCGCAUCCAAUAGUCGCUCCGUACAUCCACAUGCAAACGGAGCAAACGGAGCCCUCCGCACUCGUAUUCGGAUAUUCAGUGAAAAAAAGUGGAU